AGUGGGGAAUUUUGCGCAAUGGAGGAAACUCUGACGCAGCAACGCCGCGUGGGUGAUGAAGGUCUUCGGAUUGUAAAACCCUGUCGCCAGGGACGAAGGGGAUGAGGUGAAUAGCCUUGUUCUUUGACGGUACCUGGAAAGGAAGCCCCGGCUAACUCUGUGCCAGCAGCCGCGGUAAUACAGAGGGGGCAAGCGUUAUUCGGAAUUAUUGGGCGUAAAGGGCGCGUAGGCGGUUUUUUAAGUCGGAUGUGCAAUCCCCGGGCUCAACCCGGGAACUGCAUCCGAGACUGGAAGGCUAGAGUACUGGAGAGGGUGGUGGAAUUCCUCGUGUAGCGGUGAAAUGCGUAGAGAUGAGGAGGAACACCAGUGGCGAAGGCGGCCACCUGGACAGUAACUGACGCUGAGGCGCGAAAGCGUGGGUAGCAAACAGGAUUAGAUACCCUGGUAGUCCACGCCGUAACGAUGAACACUUGGUGUGCCGGGAGUUGACCCCCGGCGUGCCGGAGCUAACGCGUUAAGUGUUCCGCCUGGGGAGUACGGUCGCAAGG
rnacentral:rRNA from 1 species